UACAGGGGGGGCAAGCGUUGUUCGGAAUUACUGGGCGUAAAGGGCUUGUAGGUGGCCAACUAAGUCAAACGUGAAAUCCCUCAGCUUAACUGGGGAACUGCGUCUGAUACUGGAUGGCUUGAGUUUGGGAGAGGGAUGCGGAAGUUCCAGGUGUAGCGGUGAAAUGCGUAGAUAUCUGGAGGAACACCGGUGGCGAAGGCGGCAUCCUGGACCAACACUGACACUGAAAAGCGAAAGCCAGGGGAGCAAACGGGG
rnacentral:rRNA from 1 species